ensembl:snoRNA U3 Small nucleolar RNA U3
AAGACUAUACUUUCAGGGAUCAUUUCUAUAGUUGUCAAAACCUUUCAGAGGCCACAUGGCAAUGCCCACAUGACAAUGCCCACUUGG